rnacentral:lncRNA from 1 species
AGAUUCUCCAGAGGCUCUUCAGGUUCUCCUCUGUCUUUCAGUCAGCAGUCUCAGUCCAUUUGCGGAGGAACAUUGGUGUUACAGCAGUGGCGUUUAAUAAGGAACUUGAUCCUGUACAGAAACUCUUUAUGUACAAGGUUAGAGAAUACAAAUCUAAGUGACAGACAUCUGGAGGAUCUGUUGAUACUGAUCCAGAGUACCAGCAAGAGCCAGAGAAGAAGCUUUUUAAGCUCAAGCAAGUGUAUGGUAAAGCAGACAUGAAUACAUUCCCUAACUUCAAAUUUGAAGAUCCCAAACUUGAAGUCAUCAAAAAACCCCA